rnacentral:tRNA from 1 species
GCUGGGGUUGCCAAGUCUGGCCAAAGGCGGCAGACUCAAGAUCUGCUCCCGUAGGGGUUCCCAGGUUCAAAUCCUGGCCCCAGCA